rnacentral:misc_RNA from 1 species
GAGGAACGGAGGGGAAGGGGGUUGAGCACGAGCAUGGACAGCAGAGAGAGAGAAGGGUGACUUCUUGGCUUCUUCAGCUGUCGAUGCCCCUCCCCCCCCCUCCCCCGAUGACAAGGUGAGGUGGGGGGGCACACCUCACACACACACACACCUCAGUGCGUCGUAUCGAUAUCUUCGGACCCUCUCCGUAUGGGGAAGCCGAGCAGCCUCGCCCGCCCCCCCCCACCUCUGUCAAUGCACAACCACCUCUGGUGGGUGGCAGGGCCAGGUGCCUGCGGCGUAGGGGGAGGCCAGUGCGAUGUACCGCCACUGAUGCCGGCGGUCAGGUCCUGGAUGGCGCUUCAUCGGAGAGAGCUGCGACAGUGAAUACGCUUGCACUAUCCACAUGAUGGGCAGCGUGUCGACGUGACUCGACCGCAUCUCAGUCGGCCCUUGCUGCCCGCUGGUGGGUGAGCCUGAGCCAUCCCAAGCGAUGCGCCAGCUGGCGACCUGCUCAGCGUGGAGUGGCGGGCAGAGUUUGAGGCAGGGGCCGUGCUCCGAUGGCUGAGUCGGCGCAUCGCUGUAGCGCGUGUGCCUACGGCUGCUUCGCACCACGCGAUGGGUGGCGUGUGGCACGGCGUGUGGGCACAGCGGCCUUUGACCUCACGUUGUGUGCGGCAGCGAAAAGAAAAAACGGGCACGCGCCGAAGAAGGGAAAUCCACUUUUCAUCCUUGCUGCGCGCACCAAAACCCCCACCCACCCACCUUUCCAUCCAGCCUCCCCUUUCUUUAUCUUGGUCUUUCCUUAAAGGCUGCCGUUUCACAGCGUUCUUCGUGCAAC